UAUCUCUGUAGAGUCUGCAUAUCAAUAAGCGGAGGAAAAGAAACUAACAAGGAUUCCCUUAGUAACGGCGAGUGAAGCGGGAAGAGCUCAAAUUUGAAAUCUUCAAGGUUUUACCUUGACGAAUUGUAGUUUAAAGAAGUGUUUUCUGUUGAAGUUUUGGUAAAAGUUCUUUGGAAUAGGACAUCAUAGAGGGUGAGAAUCCCGUAUUUGACCAUUAUUUUCAGCUGUGUGAUACACUUUCAAAGAGUCGGAUUGUUUGGGAAUGCAGUCCAAAAUGGGUGGUAAAUUUCAUCUAAAGCUAAAUAUUGGCGAGAGACCGAUAGCGAACAAGUACCGUGAGGGAAAGAUGAAAAGAACUUUGAAAAGAGAGUUAAACAGUACGUGAAAUUGUCAAAAGGGAAGCGUUUGACACCAGUGUUGUUUUCUCGAAAAUCAAUUAAAAAAGUUGGAUUUUGUAUUGUUAAGACCUUAUCAGCUUACUGUACUCUUUUCUUGCUUUUUUUAAUGCACUUUUCGUUUAACAAGUCAACAUCAAUUUCUUUUGUUGUAAAAGAGUCAUUGGAAGGUGGCUUUCACUUCGGUGAAAGUGUUUAUAGCCUUUGGCUUCUGCAAUCGGAGAGAUUGAGGUCUGCAGCGUAGAUCCUUCGGGGCUAGAUACGUAGAUGCUAAGUUAUAGUUUUUUAUAGACAACUUGUUGACUAUAAUUAAUCAUGUAGCUUACUCGUUUGCGCUAUUUUACCUACGCUUAGGAUGUUGAAGAUGUAGCACAUCAU
rnacentral:rRNA from 1 species